rnacentral:lncRNA from 1 species
GUGUUUUUCUCUCAGUGAUCUAAGACAGAUUAAAUGAGACCUAAAAUACUUUUUAGAUGACCCUGAUAUGUACAUUGAGGUCUUUAGAGGACCUACUCAGACCUAUGGCCUAGAUUGAAAAGAUGUAAUGUUGCUCUUAAAUCCAACAUUGAUUUCUAAUGAGAAAUAAGUAGUAUUACAAGCUGUUACUACAUACAGAGACAGAUAUUUUAAUUUUGGAAGCUCAAAAAGACAGGCAUCCAGGGAAACAAUUGGUUUCUACUAGAAUACAAGCAGUUCCUAUACAAGACCCCCACUGGCCUGCCAAUCAGAUACGAGAUUAAAUAGAAGACAUUUUCAGGAAAAACUGUCACAGGUAGACAUCUGCAGCACGGCAGGUUGGAGCCUUGCCAGGCCUUCUUCCCUCACUGCGUGGAAUUUGUACUUACCUCCAAAGAGUGUCACCUAGUCUCUUCUACAUCCAAACCUGGCCUGAGCGGACCCCACUGGAGAUAGAUUCAAAGCUAUAUGGCUACCAAGAUGACAAUGCCUGGCACCUAUCAAGGGCCUUCAGAUAGACUCUCUGUAGACUAACUCUUAACUACUGAUGACAACUACGACCCUCUUCAGCUGGAAGUAGCCAGAACGGUCUUCGCCCUUUGCCCCCUCACAGCAGUUAGGGGUACUUCUUCAGAGGGGGUAAUAUUACAGAUGGGUAAGUUAAUUAGUUAUCUUGUUGGCAGGUAGACAGGGCAUCCUUAAGGUGUCAGCCCUCCUGGAGCCAACACACCAAGGAACCAACAUGGAGAACAAUUGAG